rnacentral:rRNA from 1 species
GUCUAGAGGCUUCGGCAAUGGGGGAAACCCUGACCGAGCGACGCCGCGUGAGGGACGAAGGCCGAGAGGUCGUAAACCUCUGUCAGUCGGGACGAAGGCCCUGAUGGUGACCCUAUCGGGGAGAGACGGUACCGGCGAAGGAAGCCCCGGCUAACUCCGUGCCAGCAGCCGCGGUAAGACGGAGGGGGCAAGCGUUGUUCGGAAUUACUGGGCGUAAAGGGUGCGUAGGCGGCUCGAUAAGUCCGGCGUGAAAUCUUCACCGCUUAACGGGAAGGCGCCGUCGGAAACUGUCGGGCUGGAGUGCCGGAGAGGUGAGUGGAAUUCCUGGUGUAGCGGUGGAAUGCGCAGAUAUCAGGAAGAACACCGGUGGCGAAGGCGGCUCACUGGCCGGUUACUGACGCUGAGGCACGAAAGCCAGGGGAGCAAACGGGAUUAGAUACCCUAGUAGUCC